rnacentral:rRNA from 1 species
GAUUUCUGGUCGAUGCGCCUGGCCGACCGGGGUAACCCGGCCAGUGUCGGUGUGUGUCUGCCAUCUUGCUAGUUAACCAGCUGCACUUAAAUGGGCGGUUGGCGAUCUAGCUCUUUUACUUUGAAAAAAUUAGAGUGUUUAAAGCAGGCUUGCGCUAUGAAUACAUUAGCAUGGAAUAAUAAUUUAGGACUUUAUUUCUAUUUUAUUGGUUUCUAGAGAUAAAGUAAUGAUUGAUAGGGAUAGUUGGGGGUGCUAGUAUUCACCGGCCAGAGGUGAAAUUCUUGGAUUCGGUGAAGACUAACUUAUGCGAAAGCAUU